UACAGAGGUCUCAACCGUUGUUCGGAUUCAUUGGGCGUAAAGGGUGCGUAGGCGGUCGCGCAAGUCGGAUGUGAAAUCUCAGGGCUCAACCCUGAAACUGCAUUCGAUACUGCGUGGCUAGGGUACUGGAGAGGAGACGUGGAAUUUACGGUGUAGCAGUGAAAUGCGUAGAUAUCGUAAGGAAGACCAGUGGCGAAGGCGAGUCUCUGGACAGUUACCGACGCUGAGGCACGAAGGCCAGGGGAGCAAACGGG
rnacentral:rRNA from 1 species